GAUGAACGCUGGCGGCGUGCCUAAUACAUGCAAGUCGAGCGAACGGACGAGAAGCUUGCUUCUCUGAUGUUAGCGGCGGACGGGUGAGUAACACGUGGAUAACCUACCUAUAAGACUGGGAUAACUUCGGGAAACCGGAGCUAAUACCGGAUAAUAUUUUGAACCGCAUGGUUCAAAAGUGAAAGACGGUCUUGCUGUCACUUAUAGAUGGAUCCGCGCUGCAUUAGCUAGUUGGUAAGGUAACGGCUUACCAAGGCAACGAUGCAUAGCCGACCUGAGAGGGUGAUCGGCCACACUGGAACUGAGACACGGUCCAGACUCCUACGGGAGGCAGCAGUAGGGAAUCUUCCGCAAUGGGCGAAAGCCUGACGGAGCAACGCCGCGUGAGUGAUGAAGGUCUUCGGAUCGUAAAACUCUGUUAUUAGGGAAGAACAUAUGUGUAAGUAACUGUGCACAUCUUGACGGUACCUAAUCAGAAAGCCACGGCUAACUACGUGCCAGCAGCCGCGGUAAUACGUAGGUGGCAAGCGUUAUCCGGAAUUAUUGGGCGUAAAGCGCGCGUAGGCGGUUUUUUAAGUCUGAUGUGAAAGCCCACGGCUCAACCGUGGAGGGUCAUUGGAAACUGGAAAACUUGAGUGCAGAAGAGGAAAGUGGAAUUCCAUGUGUAGCGGUGAAAUGCGCAGAGAUAUGGAGGAACACCAGUGGCGAAGGCGACUUUCUGGUCUGUAACUGACGCUGAUGUGCGAAAGCGUGGGGAUCAAACAGGAUUAGAUACCCUGGUAGUCCACGCCGUAAACGAUGAGUGCUAAGUGUUAGGGGGUUUCCGCCCCUUAGUGCUGCAGCUAACGCAUUAAGCACUCCGCCUGGGGAGUACGACCGCAAGGUUGAAACUCAAAGGAAUUGACGGGGACCCGCACAAGCGGUGGAGCAUGUGGUUUAAUUCGAAGCAACGCGAAGAACCUUACCAAAUCUUGACAUCCUUUGACAACUCUAGAGAUAGAGCUUUCCCCUUCGGGGGACAAAGUGACAGGUGGUGCAUGGUUGUCGUCAGCUCGUGUCGUGAGAUGUUGGGUUAAGUCCCGCAACGAGCGCAACCCUUAAGCUUAGUUGCCAUCAUUAAGUUGGGCACUCUAAGUAGACUGCCGGUGACAAACCGGAGGAAGGUGGGGAUGACGUCAAAUCAUCAUGCCCCUUAUGAUUUGGGCUACACACGUGCUACAAUGGACAAUACAAAGGGCAGCGAAACCGCGAGGUCAAGCAAAUCCCAUAAAGUUGUUCUCAGUUCGGAUUGUAGUCUGCAACUCGACUACAUGAAGCUGGAAUCGCUAGUAAUCGUAGAUCAGCAUGCUACGGUGAAUACGUUCCCGGGUCU
rnacentral:rRNA from 1 species